GGUUAAAACACCGGUUCCCGUAAAGUCACCGAAGUUAAGCAACGUCGAGCCUGGUCAGUGCCUAGAUGACUGACCGCUUGGGAAUACUAAGUACUGUAA